GGGGCGUAGAAUGAAAAGGGAAUCGGGUGAGAAUCCCGAACAGUCCCGCUGCUGUAAGCUCCUGUACAGGUGCCGAGAAUACUUGAAAGCCACUGAUUAUGACGAUUGGGAAGGCCUCGGUUACCGGAGUAAGUCAGAAGACCUGCCAUGCGUUGU
rnacentral:ncRNA from 1 species